AGGAUCAUCUGCUUCUGGACUGUGGUUGAAGGAAACCAGACAAAGCAAACACCAGAUAAGUGCAGCUUAUCCUUAAUGACUGGAUGUACUUCAUCCAUGACACUGACAUUUCAAUCUCCUCUAGCUUUAAAAGGUUUGUCUUCAUGUUGUAGAUGUUUUUCCGAAUCUGUAGAGCCCCUAGUCUAACAAGUAGGAGAUGUGUUAACUGAAACUGGACAGCAUCAUCCUGGUAAAUCCAGGGCACAGAAAACUGAAAUGUAUAACAGACACCUGAAGGAGUGAAGGCAACCACUAUCAGCUCUUUCCUAUCGUCUGGCUCCCACUAUGCCUUUUAGUGUCUUGAGAAACAUACAACAUCGAGUCUUCUGACACAUAAAUUGUAUGAAGACUCAGCAUGAGGCCAUGCUCAAGUAUUAUAAAGCUUCAUUAAAAAAAUAACACAAAGCUCCCAAAUUCAGCCCUUCUGAUUGGAUCUUCAGAGCAAAAGAACCUACUAAAUUUACCAGUAAAUGUUUCAAGCAAGACUUGUUAAUCCAACCAAGAAGCUUUGCCUUUGAAGAGAAGUUUGCCUCAACAGGGGAAUCUUAAUGAAUCACCAUUCACCAUGCAGUUUCGGCAACAGAGAACAUGACACGGGGUGGGGGGCAAUGAUGGCUUCCCUGGCACCUUUCAGAACACAGCCUGUGAAUGACUGCCUACUGACUGAGAACACCAGCCCUGCCAAGGACCGUGCAAAGGGGCAUGUGGGCAUCACUAGUGAGUGAUCUGUCUCUCAGGCAACAGAAACUGCUCUGGGAAGGAACUAUAUACAUUUGACUUCUAAUUGCUGGAUCCCCAUUUCUCCCUGUUAUCAAGCCUGGGCAUUCAACCACUUUUUCCAUUUGCAAUGGUAAUAAUAAAUCAACAUUCAACAGAAGUUUCCAAAGAAGAAAAUAAAAGAAGCUUAAGCUGGUAAUACUGAAUUAAUGUAUUUUCCUGGUUACUUACAAUGGUAAAGCAUUAUUUGCAUAGUAAGAAAAAUGCUAAUUUUAUUAAAGUGCUAUUCGAUAAGGCUUUCAGACUAACUUGCAGAACCCUAAAAAAUUAUACAGGGUGACUUGAUUUGUCAAUUCUAACCUCUUUGGAAUCAUUUGCCUGCACAGUUGCCACACUUGGAAGAAAAACCAAAUCCAGAACUGACUUGUUUCCUAAAUGAAUUGGGAAGUUGUCGUUAAAAAGCAUCUGCUACUUUACUGCAUUCAUGUAAAAGCAUUCUUGUGCGGCUAUAACGGACUAUUGAGCAGAUGUUUUAGAGCACUCUACUCACAGCAAUACGUGUAUCAUAAAAAAGAUAAGGAGCUACAACGUAAUUAAUGAUUUCGGUUCCUCUAUAAAUGCAUUUCACUUUUUUAAAAAAAAAUGGAUUUAAAGUUGUGUCAAGAACCUCAACUUUUUACUCAAGCAAUUCACUUGCAAGAAAGUGAACACAAAAUCAUUUACAACAAUAAAUAACGAAUGGUCAGACUCAGCCUGAUACCCAAUGUGAUGAAAUCUGAGGUUAUAAGAAAGGCUUCUCUAGACCAAAUCACCCUACGACCUCCCUGGGGAUCAGCCAGAUAAUUAGCCACUGGGUAUCAACUUCUUUGUGUUUUAAAUGUCUUCAAGUCAGGAGAAUAUGUUUCUUCAAGCCAGAAGAAUAUGUAACACUUAAAAUCAU